AUGGGAACGCUGGUAGACAGCUCUACAUUUAUAUGGAGGAGGUCUCCCAAAGUGAGAAUAACCUCAGUGAAGGCCCGGAACUCCCACCAGCUACUCCUCCUGCGCAUGAAGAGCCAGGCUCUCCGCCUCCCUCUCAGCCCCUCCAUGCUGCACGCUGACCCCGCAAGGGUGGACAAAGAGCCUACAGGCUUGAAGCACACAGGGCUGCUUUCCAAACAUUUGUUCAGUUACCACCCUAACAUGAAAGCUUUUAAAUGAUUCCAAAAAAUAAUAUUGCUCCAGGUAGAAAUAUCCUUUUCAUAUUCAAAUGUAGCUUCACUGGUAGUUUGACAAAUUACAGUCUUAUGACUCUGUUUUCUGGUAUUUGUGAAAAACACCAAGUAAAAAAAAUCAAAUAAAUUCCAAAUUUUCUAAGAGUGUCUGUCUCUUUUUUUCCCCCUUUAGUAAGAGGAUCAAAGCAGUAUUUUUCUCUUUUUGUUCAAUUUUGUGUACAACAAAAGCAUUUCUUGCUUCACCUCUUUAUAAACUACAGAUCUCUGUACAAACACAGUAUUAAUUAAAUCCAAGAAAUGGUGGCUAUACUAUGCAUUUUGAAAGAAAAAAACUGCUCCACAAUAGAGUAACUGUCUUGUUUAUAGACAGUACAUGUGAGUACAGAGGCUAAAAAUUCUGAAGUAACAACAUAACCUUAACUUUCAACCUUAAAUUACAGGCCACCAUGGAACCCAGACAGAAAUCAAACAUUAUUUAUUACACAUUCUUCCAAGAAUUUUUACUACAAAAUAAUACUGAAAAAAAUGUGCUUAGUAAUAAACAGAAUUCAUUCCCAACCAUGAAGUCCAGUACAGUGGACUGGACCCAAAGAGCUGCAACUGGGAACGUGUGCGGACCACUUCCAGGGAAAAUGGUGGCUUGAACUCUCGUUUCCGGCCAGGCCCUAAGCAAUCCCAUGGGCUUAGAAUGAAGUUUAAAAACUGAAAGCAGCAAGACCAAGACAGCAAAGGUUUGGAAGACAACUGGGCCUAGCUUGAUGAGACAUGCACAAAACCUGUAUAGAAUAUUUUAAAACAUUUCCUAAGAUUUAUAUCUGUCUAGCUAUCCAUCUAUCUAUUAUCUAUUAUCGAUCUAUCUCCCUGUGUGAAGUUUUUGCUUUAAUUCUCUCUCUGGAACAAGGUCCUUUUGUCUGACAGUCACAGGAUCUAUAACCAGUUGCUUAAUAAAAAAAUUUAGUCAACAAAGUCAAUAAAAAUCAGUACGUACGUACCUUAAGUAUCUCAUGUAAUGGAAGACUUUGAGUAUGGACCCCCUCAUUCAAGUUACCCAUUGAAUCUUUAUUCAAUGAUGAUAGAUUUCAGUUUCUUUAAAAUUCAUAAUAACUCAAAACAUACUUACAAAGCAGUUUAUGCAAAAAAUACUUUUUUUAGUAUUUUUCCAACCCUUUGAUAGUUAUUCUACCCUCAUCUAAUUUAAUAACACUUUCAGCAAUUCUCCUUUAAUGAGUCUUUCCAAAGUAUUCAAUUUAUUUUUUAGCAAAACAAUAACUCUUUAUAUUUACACUCAGAAGUCACGGGAUUACGUAAUAUUUAAUUAGGUUAUGUAAUUGUAAUUACAAGUACAAAUGAAAUAAACAGGUUUGGGAACAUCUCAAUUGACUCUUUGUAAGCACACAAUUCAACGACAGUCAGCAUGUCCAUCAUUUCAGGCAGGAGUUUUAGGCAGGGGACGCUGAGCAUGAGCUAAGUGCAUGUGGCUAAGAAAGCUCCACUAAGAUUUCUGAAGCAGCACUGUCUAAAGCAUGUACCAGGGAAAACUAAUUUUAAGGGUGCAAUGCAAAAAAAUUUGGUUAGCUAAGUCUGGGAAAUGCAGAGUCAAAUGAAGUUUAAGAAGUUCCUUUAUUUGAUCCCCAGUACAAAAAAAAAGAAGUUCCUUUAGCGAAGGACAUCAUCCUCCAAACAAUUAGUGUGGCUUAUUUCUAAGAGGGUCUUAUGGUAUGUAGUGUUUUGCUAAUGUAUUUUAUCAAGGACUCAAUUUUCAUGAAGAACUUCAUGGGACUGAAAUUUCCAGGCAUAACUUGUACUUUGACCAUUUUUUCUUCCCCCAAUUCCUAUGACAACCUGUGUAAUUUACUUUUCAGUUUAAAACUUGGGCAGGAACACUAUAACACCACUCAAGUCUGCACUCCGGAACAACAGGUGCCCUAAUCAAUAUUGCAGACUCAGCCAGGAAUUUGCCAGAAAGGCAAGACUGCAGAGUACACUCUGCCGUACUCACUGUGCAUAUUUUUAUUAACACCUAAAACUGAAAAUCUUACAAAGAAUGUUAGCAAUGGAUGUGAAAUGGUGAAACUGGUGGCUUGUUGAUGUGAAGAAAUGAGCUUCCAUGAGUAACACUGAAAACAGUGAAGAACGUGUAAAGAAGUGAAAAUGUUUUAGAGGUACUCUAUGAUCCAGUGUGAAUGGAAUACGUGGACUCAGAAAGGCGUUCCCUCCGGAGACAGCCUGAAUUUGGUAUCCAUCCACUGGGUUAUGAAGACAUAGCACUGCCUGGUGGCUAACACAAGAGCAAAGAGCUCUGCCUGCGGGGUGCCCCCUUGUCUGUCUUGCCAAAGAAUAAGCUGUAUAAAUCAUGUUUUUCUUCCCUUGCUAAUGUGUUUAAUAAAUGCCUCUGUGUUUAGCAGGCUUUAUCUGACUUGUUUGCAAUACAAUGGAGUAACAAAAUUUCAGGUGUUAACACUGGUUCGUGCCAAAUCUCAUCUGAGUUAAGAACCAAGGGUCAAAGAAAAUCCAAGGAAACAAACAAAAAUACACUAAACCCCAACCCACUCAAUCAAGUCUCAGUAUUUUUCUUGAAGACAGAAGAAGGUGCCUGCCAACCUAUUGUACCAAUAGCAUGUUUGAAAAUAAUUCACAUUAGGGGGUGAGGAAAGGUGACUCCAGCAAACUGUGAGGGGAGGAGGCCAGAAAGGCAAAGCUAACAUGCUUAGAAGCAGAAAGAAUGCAGCAGUUC
rnacentral:lncRNA from 1 species